CCUUUUCCUUCAUUUCCAGCAAUCCUACUAACGCCUCGCCUCACUCACAUACGGUCUCGUUCUCUCCUCGCAUUCAACAACGAGGACCUGCCACCGAUGCUCCUCCACCACCACUGCUCUUCACGCUACCGCCCAACACCACAGACUCCCACAUCUUCUCCUCCAUCUCUGCUCAUCACAUUUGGUCGUUUAAAACAGAUGCACCCGCUUCAGGAGUUACACGCCAACGGGCACCUCGCCGACAGCACCGUUCUCUUCCUCUCUCCCUUUCUCUCGCAGCCAUUUGCCGUUCUGCUUUUCAGGUGAGGUGGUUCAUAGUCAAGUUUUUGGACAAUACUGCAUGUUUUCUUUGUCGUGAUGUUGAACGUACAAGAUAUUUUUAUUUUUAAUUUUACUUAAGAUUUGGUUGAAAGUGAGUUUUCGGAAGUUUUUACAUUUUGAUCCCGCCAUGAGAGGCACUUUCGUUUGCUUUCAUUCAAUUUCUUAGUUUGUAAUACAUGGGGCCCGCACUUUUGCUCAGUUAGGUCCAAACACAGGCAUGCAAUUUUUUCCGAGAACUGUUACGUGAAAAGAAAAAAACAGAGAGCCAUUUUUAUUUCUUAGCUCAUCACACGUGGGACCCGCUGAUUUGGCUUAAAUUGGAGUUAAAAUCGUUGAGAAUUAAUGGCAAGCAAUUGGAAGAAGGAUGUUUACGUGAUAGAGGAGAAAUGGGGCCACGCGCGGGCAAUCAUGUUUGUCUUUCAAAUUUUAGGCUUUUCGCUCUUUCGACCCCCCUUGUCGAUAUUCCCACUCCCAACUAUAAAAAUUUUAAAAAUAUUUUUCUUAUUUUAAAACAUGUUUUCUAUUUUUAUUUUUGGGAAAAAAACAAACAUUUAGAGAAACCACACUCAUUUUACACAUUAAAUUAAAGGUACCGUCUUCGAACAGAUGUGGUAAAGAGUUCUAAUACCUUAUGUGUAACUGACUCCCGGACUCUGAAUCUGAUUCGCAGACCAUCUUUUUGGUUUUUCCAUAAUUUUCUGAUAUAAACUUUGGUAGCAACUUCCAUCUCUCUAAUAUUUUUUACGACAAUCUUUUUUUGGUUCGUCAUCCGCCUGUCGCGAUCCUGGUUGCGACAGUAGCAAAUCUUCAAGAAAGCUUCAUCAAACCCAAACGUUGGAUACUUGAGAUGUCCAACAAUCUCCCCUAGUUUGAUGAAGACAAAUAGUCUAACAACAAGUCUUGAGUUUUGAUAAACUUUAUCUUGUGUAGGCAGCAACCAGUGGUGAAAAAAAAAUAACAUCAUCAGUUCUUUAGUUUGUUCCCUCUAACUUGCAUAUUUUCACAUGAGCUUUAGCUUCAACAACAUAUUCUCCCUCUUUGUAUUCAUCAAACAUAAUAUGGGAAAAUAAAAUAUAGUGGAUCUAUUUGAAUGGAUGUACCAGUCCAACAAAGAACAACAAAUACAAAAAUAGUUAAAGUAAUAAUAGUGAUGCUUAAAGAAAAUAUAAAAUGUUCAAGGUGCAUACAACAAGCACCAUAUAACCUAAAAGAAACUAGAAAACAAAAGUGUUCAGCAGAUAGGAAAAUUAAACUGAUUAAAAAUAGAACACAACAGAUUAAGUGGUGAUAGAGCUUAGCCAACUACUCUUGUACUACUUAAAUCUAAUCAUCAAAAUGUUGAAACUUUGAUGUAGCCAUCUCAAAAUACUCCCUUUGUUAUGCACAAAUGGUGUCCAGCCUGUGAAUCAUGAACCUCUCAAAUCUGGACGAUGGUUCACCUCUAUCCCCUUAUGGUACAUAGGCUACCAAUGCAUUCAUAUAAGUUCCUUGAACAUCUUUACCAGCAUUGUUUGAUCCAAAAAUGUUAGUAGCAUCACCAUUUUUACUAAUCCGUAUAUUGCUAAUCUUUUGAAAACUCAUUUUCAUUAGAGUAGCACACUUCCAAAUUUUACAGUUUCUCUCAGCUCAUCCUUUAAAUCAAGUUAAAAAUGCUCUAAAAAUUUGGAAAUUAAAAUUACAUAUGGAAACUUGUAAUAUGUGAGACGUUUGAACUUAAUCAUAUGUUCUUUUAUGAUAUAGAUUUUUACCUUGAUCUUAUUCAUUAGAUAGUACAUCAGAAUUAAAGCCUUUUCUGUUAACAUGGCAUGGUUACUCCCCAUGGGUGUUAACUACCAUGCCUAAUGUGUGUCAAAAAACACUUUGUUAACUUGAGAUGUCCUACAUGAAAUCGAUUAAAGGGAAUGUCUUGAUCUUUCAAACAAGAGCAAUAGAAUUGCAUCUUGUUAAACUUACUGAUUUCAUCAGUGUUUCCCUUUCCAACCUUGACUCCAUUAUACUUGAGUCUAGUUAUACAUUUCCACAUAGCUGGUGUGAUCAACAUGUGAUAUGAUUCCAAUAGCAAGAUAUAGAUGUUUCAUAGACAUUAUAUGGAAUCAACUUGAGUUGGAAAGUGAAUAGGAACUUUUCUAGAAUUGGAUCAAUGUUCUUUCAUUCAAGAACUCACCAAAACUUGAGCUAUCACACCAAAACUCAUAUAGAAAUUCAUUUCUUGUCAAUUGAACCGAUUAAAAUGCACAAGAAAUCAAAUGAACCGAGUAAAAUGGCUAACAAUUGAAUUGAACCGAACAAAAGCAUGAAAGAAAGAAGAUGAACCGUUUAAAAACAGUAAAGAAGAAGAUGAACCGAACAAAAUAAGAAAGAAAGCUAAAGAACCGAAUAAAAGUGCAAGAAAAGACCUAAGACAUGUUUUAAGAGUUUAUAUGGACAUGGAAAUGGAUGAAUUAGAUGGAAAAGAGAAGAAGACUUAUGUGGUUGGAGUCCUUGGAAAGGAACAUGCCAUUUGGAGGAUGCAAAGCUCCAAGAUGAGUGAGAUGCCGCCACUUGAGGCUCCAAGAUUGCUCUCAAGAUAAGACUAGGUAAGAGAAGACACAAGUCUCUCAAAUGCUCACCAAUUUUGGGAGAGUUUCAGUACGAUCAAUAUCAAAUCUGUAUUUAGAAGGACCCAAGCCCUCCUUAUAUAGGAGAAGGACCGGUCAUGAAGUUUACAAAGCUUACACAACAAGCUAACCAAAAGUCUCUUGCAUGCUACCCACUUCUAGCGCCUAUAGUGAGGUAUGAAGGGCCAACUUGUAGAAAGUUCCCCUCUAAGCACCUUUCUAAAAACUAUAUAUUUAAACAUUCUACAUUUUAUACAAAAGAUACUACAAAAAGAGAAAACAUUUUACCACUACUUCCUAAUUCUUUAAAUUUGCUCCUUGUAAUCCUUUGAGGUAAGCUAAUAUCCUCUUGAUCAACUUCAACUUCGACUUCUACCUUUUCUUGAUCUUGAUCUCCAUCAUACUCCCCGAGUUGGAGAGAAUUCGACCACGAAUUCUGGAGACCUACAGAAAAAGGAGUUAGAUCACUGAUAUUAAAUGUAUGACUACCAAGGAAUGUAUCAGGCAUAUCUAACUCAUAAGCAUUAUCAUUAAUCCUGUUUAGGACUUGAAAAGGUCCAUCUCCACGAGGCAUAAAUUUGGACUUCCUUUGAGUAGGAAAACGAUCUUUCCUCAAAUGAAGCCAAACCCAAUCACCUACAUCAAAUAAUAAUGCUUUUCUCCUUUUGUUGGCAAGUUCAGCAUACUUGCCAACCUUCUUCUCAAUUCUCAACUUGAUGUCUUUAUGCAAAUUUUUAAUAAAAGAAGCUUUCUCAUCACCAUCUUUGCACAAGACAUCAUCAAGUAUGGGAAUAGGAAGAAGAUCAAGAGGUGUUAAGGGAUUAAACCCAUAGACAACCUCAAAAAGGAGAAUGUGAGGUGAUAGAAUUUACUACACGAUUAUAAGCAAAUUCAACAUGUGGUAGUAAAUCCUGAUGGCAUUCCUUUGAGCUCUUCUUUGCGUUUUGGUGAUGAACUUGCAGAAGCUUGUGGAGGAGAUGAAGCAAGGCCUUCCUAGGAAGUAUGGGUGCCUUGAAGGUGCAUGAGAGUGGGGAAUUGGGGAGGUUCGGCCAGCCCCUUUGAAGGUGAUGAAGUGAAGAUUAAAACCUAGAUGCUAGGCAAAGAGUAGUGUAUGGCACAAAUUUGGCAGCAUAACAAUACUCUAUUCAAUCUUGAAAUACAUGAGGUUGGCUCCUCCUUUUAUAGGCUAAGGAGGACCUGAAAUGAUGAGCAAAUGCAAGCCAAAUGAAAUACAAAAGAGUAGCACAUGGAGGCACAUGGAGCACAUGGCACAUGGGUGCACAUGGCCUCCUAAUUUGCACAUGGACGUCCUAGAUUAGUGGAGAUCUUCUAGAAACCGUAGCUAAUCUAGGUUAACUCCUCCUUAAUCCUAAUUUACAGAAUUUAAACAAAGGUUCAUAAGGCUAUGCUAUUUACACCACAAAUAAGACUAAGCUACACUUUGUUGGGCCUUCUUGGAUGUCACCCUUCUUGGAUGUCAACUCUCUUAGAUGCUCCUUGUGUGGCCUAGACGCUUCUUGUGUGGCCUAGACGCUUCUUGUGGGUGCCCUCUAUGCAAGGUUGGUCCUAGACGCUCUCUUGGUUGCCUUUCAUGCAAGGUUGGUCCUAGACGCUCUUUUGGGUGCUGGGGCCUCUUCCAUCAUCCCCUCCCUCUUGAAAAGGAUUUGUCCUCAAAUCCAAUGCUUUUUCUUCAACUAGGGGGAUGAAUGUGGCUGGAUGUUGUCCAUCAUCUCCUCCUUCUUGAGAAGAUCUAUCCUCAGAUCUACAGACUUAAUCUUGAAUAGCAGCCUCUUGCGUCGUCAAGGUUAGUCCUCUCGGAUUAAAUGUCCAUCUAUGGGAAUCUUGAAACAAAACAAAGGAGUUAGUGUCAGCAAUUGGAGAAAACUUAAUUGUGUGAAGUUGCUAUUUUUGUUUUUCUUUUGUUUUUGGAAACUUUGCACAAUAUUUCCCUUUUGAAGGUUGUAUGUGUCUUCUAAUCCUCUUAUGUUUUAUAAAAUCUCCAAUAGUAGUUACUUUUUCCUUAGGCAUAAUUCCUUGAGGAGGUGGUAACAACUUAAAAAGGGAAAGAGGACUAUGUUCACAUACAACGUCAAAUGGAGAAAGAUGAGUAAUCUUGUGGACUACUCCAUUGUAUGCAUGCUCAAUAGGAAAAGCAUACUCAUCCCAAGAAUUGUGGUUGUCUCUCAUGAUUUCUCUAGGUAUAGUAGAAAAAGCUAUGUUUUCAAUUUUAUUUUGACUAUUCUUUUGAGGAUGAUAAGACUUUGAAAAGAACAAUUUAGUUUCAAAUUUUUCCAAGAGAAUCCUCAAAUGAUGGUUUUCAAAUUUUGGAGCUCUAUUCAACACUAUGUUUGAAGAUAAAUCAUGAAGACUUGUCACUUCUCUAAGGAAGAGUUUAUCCAUAUCCAUGAAAAUGGAAUCAAAACCUUUUGUUGUCCUAGGAAGCUCUAAGAUAAAAUUGAGGUUUAUGUCUUCCCAAGGAUCAUUUGCAAAAGGUAAAGGAGUAUAGAGCUCAUGAGACAUCACCUUAGGUGUAUUUUUAAAACAAGAAAUGUAUCUAGGGUAAUGUCUUUGAACAUAUUUUCUCAUGGGUGACAAAAGUUUUCCCUUUAAAAGCUCUAGAGUUUUAUCAACUCUAUUUUGUCCCAUGAGUUCUCCUUCAUGACGAGUUUCUUUUUUAUGUGUGAAGGUAGUCUCGUUGAUACGACCAUUGAUCAUGGAAUCAUUUUGCAAUGGUUGUCUCAAUAAGAUAUGACAAGUUUCUUUAGGGACUACCUUACAUAAAAAAUCGUCUUGGUAGUUGCCUAUAGAUAACUUGACCUUCAUUUGUGGGUGAUAUCUCAUAUAUUCAAAGUAAACUAAUACAUAUUUAUCUAUGCAAGCCUCUUUUAAGGUUUAUUCUUUUGUGACUAUGCUUGCAAGUGUUCCUUCACAAAAGGUAAGGCUAGGUUGUUCAACAAGAAGCAUGUUUUCAAAGGUAUUUUCAAAUUUUCUUUCUUGUUGAAGGACCUUGUGGGAAGGAACACUCUUUUCCCACGCCUUUUGUUUUUCAAAGGUUUUCUCUUGAUUUUCUAUUUUUAAUAUGCUUGUAAGGGGUUGUACCGUCCCGUCCCCGGGCGUUGACCAAAGUCAAGUCAAAGUCAAAGUCAACGUAUGGAGGGGUCCUUUCAAAGGAAGAAAGUCAACAGAUGACCGCUUGAGGCGUCGCCAAGGUAGGGCAUCGCCAAGGUGUAGGCGUCGCCAGGUGUAGGCGUCGCCAGGAUGAGGCAUCGCUAGGUGUAGGCGUCGCCAGGAUGAGGCAUCGCCAGGUGUAGGCGUCGCCAGGUUAGGGCGCCGCCAGGAUAAGGCGUUGCCAAGUUAAGACAUCGACGGUGUAGCCCCCCGAUACCCAUGGGUAGGAAAGAUCGUGGAGGGGGCGACACCGCGAGAGGCCUCAGUACCUCAGGACAGUAAUAAAGAGAAGAGAAAGGUGGCUUCAAGGCCAUAGUUCUAGUACUAGUAGGGGGUAACCUGACUCACGAUGUACCCACGCCACCGGUGGGAGACCCUGGGACAGAUACGACCCAUGAGAGGGCCACGCUUAGGGGAGAACCACGUGCAUGGUACGAGAGAAAGGUAGAUACGCUCUCAGGGCAACUGAUUAGAGGCUGGGGCGCAUGAGUUGGCACCCAGAAAAUCACCCCUUUGUGCAAAUGCGCUCCAAGAAGGGGGACUUACACGAUGAAUUACCCCUAAGUUGGGUUACGACGUUGUAAGGCCCUCCACGAAGCGUAACGAUCAAGUCAGAAGAACACGUGGCAAUAAGCACUGAAAACAUCAAGGCUUUCCUAAAUGUUCACUAAGGUACGCGUUAAUUCAGUUAAGAUUCGAACGUUUCAAGGGAUAUUUUUAUACGUUUUCAAUGCGCUUUAACACAUUUUAAAUGCGAGAGGUGUAUAAAAAGGGGCCUUGGGAUGUUUGAAAGGGGAUCCAAGUUUUAACCUAAUUCUCACAGUUUACACAGAGUCACAAAAAACCCUAGUUGUUUCACGGUGCACCCACUAUGCGCACAGACAAUUAGGGCAACACAGUACUAGCUAUUCAGUAUUUCGACCACCUUCAGAGCAUCCUUUCACGGUUUUCCGAUACGGAGGUGGGUCACCUUUGAUGUUUCUCGCUAGCUGACUUGAUCGUCGGAGUGCAAACGGCCGCGAGGGCGCCCCUUUGUUCACUUCUUUUCAGGUACUCACGAAUGGAGCAGAACGAAGGUGUCCUAGCUCGUGAGGACAAGCCACGCAUAAAGACGACCCUAGUCAACCGACGGGAACAUUUGGUGCCCACCGUGGGGUCGAUAUAAAACGUCAGUCCCAUCACACCAUUUUCCAGUUCCAGUUGCAGUUUCCAACCCAAUUCCAGUUCUCAAAUCGCAGAUAAUCAAGAAGGCUUCCAGAAACCACGAACAUUAGACCCGCAAGCGCUAGGAGUGAAGAGAUGACCAUGCAACAACUCAUGGGCAUAAUGCAAGGGUUGCAAGAAGCAAUGGCAGCAUCAAAAGCGGAGCAAGAGCGCAUGCAGGCGGAUCUCACAGCAUCUCAGGCGAGAAACGAUGAGCUCCACCGCACCAACGAGGAACUACGCCGCGGAUGGCGCGACGUAGACGAGCCUGAGACAGCCACCCCACCAAGAGAAUUCUCUACGCCGUUCUCGCAGACGAUCCUAGAGACAGCGAUCCCCAACACCUUCACGGGGCCCAAACUAACCUUUACAGGGAUGGAGGACCCUGAGGCGCACCUCACUGCGUUUCACACGCAGAUGAUGCUGGUAGGCGGUUCUCAUGCCAUAAGGUGCAAGCUCUUCAUUUGCACUUUGACUGGGAUGGCCAUGGAUUGGUUCAUCAGCCUCCCAGAGGGUCACAUCACGUCUUUCACACAACUCUCGCGACUGUUCAAAGAGCAAUACCUAGCCAACAGGGCCCCACCCCCUGUUUCAUACGACCUAUUUGACGUGAAGCAGUAUCAAGGUGAGACCUUGAAAGAGUACAUAAGCCGUUUCGGGGCGCAAGUGGUGAAGGUGGGCACCACAGACGAGCCCAUGAUCGUGUACGCAUUCAGGAAAGGAGUGUGUCUUGGGUCUUUCAGCAAGUCACUCAAUCGCAGCCGCCCCAAGACUUUUGCUGAAGUAAGGCGUCGGGCGGUAAAACACAUUGCCUCUGAGGGUGAGGCAUACGAGAAAUGCACGACUGCUGCACCCACACGCCCAAGAGUGCAGAUGCGCACACAACCCGCUAGGGUCCACGAAGCCGCCACAGAGAGAAAGAACCAAGACAGGAAGCGCACCUACGAGGCAAGGAGGACCCAGCCUAGGGGUCGAGCAAAAGGAAGGAGAGAGGGAAAUAGACCUCUAAGGCACAAUUUUGUGGUGGAACUUAAAGACCUCAUCGUUGUGCCCAACAUAGCCGACAGGUUGAGGCCACCAAUGAAGUCUGACAAGGUGCUGGGACCUCACAAAGAAUCAUGGUGCGAAUUUCAUGAAGCAUUCGGGCACCAUAUUAACAACUACUUAGCGUUGGGCUAUCAGUUGGAUGAGCUUGUGAAGAAUGGUUUCCUAAAAGAUUAUCUCGCUGGGUCUACUACAACAACAACCACAGUGACACCAGAGGAAGGUCAAGCGCACGAAAUGCCGACUCACGGAGAAGUACACACCAUUUCUGGCGGCUUUUCCGGAGGAGGACCCACUGCCUCUGAACGUAAGAAAUAUGUGAGGUCAGUAAGUUCAGUUGCUGAGGAGUUUCCGGAUGACCUGUGGGAGUCAGACCUUGUUUUUACAAGGGCUGACCUGCGGGAUGUCGUCCCACACGAUAAUGACCCCGUGGUCAUUUCAAUAGUCACAGCGGGAAGAAAGGUACAUAGGGUUCUUGUCGACCAGGGCAUUUCUGCUGACGUCAUGUUUUGUUCGACCUUCAACAAGCUACAGUUAUCCCCCGACCUGCUAAGACCCUAUACUGGAUGCUUGUAUGGGUUUGCAGAUAACCCAGUGGAGGUACGUGGUUACCUGGAACUGAGGACGACAUUCACUGAUGGAGCGGCGUCACGCACCGAGAGAAUCCGGUACUUGGUGGUUAACGCCAACUCAGCCUACAACAUCUUGUUAGGCAGACCUGCCUUGAACAGAUUAAGGGCAGUGUCCUCCACACGCCACAUGAAGAUGAAGCUACCAGAUCUUAGUGGCAAAGUAAUCGUAAUCAAGUCAGAUCAGGAAGAGGCCCGUAAGUGCUAUGAAAAUAGCCUGAAGACGAAGAGAGGCAUGGUCAUGGUGAUUGAACGACCACCAGUUUCAAAUUCGCAAAUGGAGUUAGGACCGUUGGAAGAGGCGACGCUUGCGGAGUCCACGCCUGUCGAGGCCACACCUGCGGGGUAAUGCCUAUAGAAGAUGCACGUACGGAUGGAAGAUACGGUACACCUCGCCGAUGGAAGAAGUAUACGGAGAGGCCUCGCCCAUGGAAGAAGAGUCAGGGAAGGCGAUGCCCGAUGUAUCCGAUAGGGCGACGCCUAUAGAAGAGGACCCCGUGAACGAGUCUCGCGUAGAGAACGAGCAGAGUAAACAACCCCAACCAGUAGACAACGUGGUGGAAAGACAGAUAAGGGGUAAGGUGUUCAAAUUAGGACGUUUCUUGAGCCAGGAAGAACGAGAAGAGGUAGCUGCGGUGAUCUCGCGCCACCUAGAUGCAUUCGCGUGGACUGCGGCGGACAUGCCGGGCAUCGACCCAGAUUUUUUAUGCCACCAUCUUACUAUGGACGCCAAGGUUCGCCCCGUGCGACAGAGAAGGAGGAAGUUCAACGAGGAACGAUGCCUCGUCGUGAAGGAAGAGACGCAAAAGCUGUUAAGUGCUGGGCACAUCAAGGAAAUACAAUACCCUGAGUGGCUGGCCAACGUAGUUCUAGUGAAAAAGGCGAAUGAGAAAUGGAGGAUGUGCGUUGACUUCACAGAUCUGAACAAGGCAUGCCCCAAAGAUUCGUACCCACUGCCCAACAUCGACGCGCUAGUUUUGCGCGUCGGGCUGCAAAAUGCUGAGUUUCUAGGAUGCAUUCUCAGGUUACAACCAGAUCAAGAUGCAUCCAAGGGAUGAGAGCAAAACGGCGUUCAUGACGGAGACAAGCAGCUACUGUUACAAGGUGAUACCAUUUGGGUUGAAAAACGCAGGCGCCACCUACCAGAGGCUGAUGGACAAGGUCCUUGCACCCAUGCUGGGAAGGAACGUGCAGGCCUACGUAGAUGACAUGGUGGUGACUUCACACAAGAGAGGGCAGCACAACGGAUCUGGAAGAUCUGUUUGCUACCAUAUCAAAGUAUCGCCUCAAAUUAAACCCAGAAAAGUGCGUUUUUGGCGUGGAAGCAGGGAAGUUCUUGGGGUUUAUGCUCACUGAAAGGGGUAUAGAGGCGGACCCUGAUAAGUGUGAAGCCAUUAUAGCCAUGAGGAGCCCAACCUCAGUUAAAGAAGUUCAGCAAUUGACUGGGAGGAUGACAGCUUUGUCAAGGUUUGUGUCUGCUGGAGGGGAGAAGGGCCACCCUUACUUCCAAUGCCUCAAGAGGAAUAGCUGUUUUGCAUGGACAGAUGAGUGUGAAGCAGCGUUCCUCAAAUUGAAGGAGUACUUGGCGACGCCACUUGUGCUCUGCAAGCCACAAGUGGGCGUCCCCCUCCGAUUAUACUUUGCGGUGACAGAGUGGGCCAUUAGCUUUGUGUUGGUCCAGGAGCAAGACCAAGCGUAGAAGCCCAUUUAUUUCAUAAGCAAGGCCUUGCAAGGCCUAGAGUUGAGGUACCAGUCGCUGGAGAAGGCAGCGUUAGCAGUGGUGUUCUCAGCCAGAAGGCUCCGCCACUAUUUCGACAGUUUCACAGUGGUGAUGAUGACGAGCCUCCCAAUCCAGAAAGUACUUCAAAAGCCAGAUGUAGUAGGGAGGAUGGUUCGUUGGGCGGUAGAACUGUCGGAGUUUGAUAUCCAGUAUGAACCCAGGGGGUCCAUCAAAGGGCAAGUCUAUGCUGACUACGUGGCAGAGCUCUCACCAGGAGGAGACCCUCAAGAGGUGGAGUUAGGGUCACAGUGGAUGCUCUCAGUGGAUGGGUCCUCCAACCAGCAGGGAAGUGGCGCUGGAAUAAUCUUGGAGGGGCCUAAUGGAGUGUUGAUCGAGCAGCCUUUACGAGGUGUUGAUUGCUGGGAUGCUUUUGGCUAAAGAAAUGGGUGCUCAGAGCCUCUUGGCAAAGAGUGACUCACAAUUGGUCACAGGACAAGUAACAGGGGAGUAUCAGGCAAAGGAUCCACAGAUGGCUGUGUACUUGAGGUACGCCCAGUUGUUGAAGAGAGCCUUCGCUGCGUUUGAGCUGGUGCAUGUCCCUAGGGAGCAGAAUGCCAGAGCUGACCUGCUUGCCAAGCUGGCCAGCUCAGGUAAGGGGGGAAGGCAGAGGACUGUAAUCCAAGAGACCCUCAAAACGCCGCGAAAGUUUGUUGCGGACAACAAGGUGGAUGUUCUUCAUGUUAGUACAACAAGAGGAAAGCCAAGGUACCAUCGCUCUUUGAGUCAAGAUACGGUGAGGGCACCCUGCAUCAGUACUUAUGCGACCUCGCCAGAAGAAGAAAAGGGUGUACAAGUAUGUGCUUUGGAGAAAGGCGACACAUGGAUGACCCCUUACAGGCGAUACCUAGCGGAUGGAGUCCUCCCAGCGGAACCAGAAGAAGGCAAGAAGAUUAAGAGGAACGCCGCAAGGUACACCUUAGUGGAUGGGAUAUUAUUCAGACACGGGUUUACACACCCUAUCUUGACGUGCGUGAGUGGCGACGAGUGCGCCAGGAUAAUGGCUGAACUCCAUGAAGGUAUUUGUGGGAGCCACGUGGGAGGAAGAUCCUUGGCAUCCAAGGUAAUACGUGCAGGGUUCUUCUGGCCAACAGUAAGAUAGGACUGCGUGCGAUACGCCCAGCAUUGCAAGCAAUGUCAGAUGCACGCUGAUUGGCACAAGGCGCCGCCAGAGGAACUGAGGUCCAUAUACAGCUCAUGGCCUUUCCAUACUUGGGGAAUUGAUAUCCUAGGCCCGUUCCCACUGGCGAUAAGGCAGAUGAAGUACUUGAUCGUUGUCAUCGAGUACUUCACCAAGUGGAUAGAGACAGAACCAGUGGCACAAAUCACUGCGCACAAGGUACAACACUUUGUUUGGAAGAACAUUGUGUGUCGUUUUGGGGUGCCGAGGCGUCUCAUUUCAGACAAUGGCACCCAAUUUGCGAGCCAACAGUUGGGGAAGCUGUGUACAAAAGUAGGAAUCAAGCAGGUGUUUGCAUCAGUCGAACACCCCCAGACGAAUGGGCAGGUCGAGUCAGAAAAUAAAGUUUUGUUGAGGGGUUUGAAACGCAGAUUAGAGAAGGCUAAAGGGGCGUGGGCAGAAGAAGUACCAAGGAUUGUAUGGGCUUACCACACCACGCCUCAAUCUUCCACCAUGGAGACGCCUUUCAGCCUAGUGUAUGGGUCGGACACCAUGAUCCCAGUAGAGAUCCACGAGAGCUCGCCUCGUUUCCUAGGUUUCGUGGCAGAAGAGUCCAACGAAGAAAGGAAGGUGAACUUGGAUCUGAUAGACGAAGCUAGAGAAGAGGCGAGAAUUAAGGCUGAGGCUGUGAAUAGAAGAGUGGAGUGUCAGUACAGCUCUAAGGUGAAGCUGCGACAAUUUCAGGUUGGUGAUCUGGUCAUGAGGAAGGCUCACCCUUACGAGUUGGAAAACAAGUUGUCUUCCAAGUGGACUGGACCGUUCAGAGUAAUCAAAGCCAAAGGGAAUGGUUCAUAUAAGUUAGAGACUCUAGAAGGAGGCCCCAUCCCACGUAGUUGGAAUGCGGCGAAUUUAAAGUUUUAUUUUAGUUGAAAUUUUGUAAAGGGGACACUCUUUUUCCCUCCCGGGGUUUUUUAAUGAGGUCACCCAAAUAAAGAAAAGAGAAGUUUAAGAUAUUUCUGCCUUAGUUUUUCCCUCUCAUGUAAGAUCAAAGAUUAAAGAAACAAAGACAAAGAUUCAAGGAGUCGCCAAGAUGAGGCGUCACCAAAAUAAGGCGUCGCCGAGAUGAGGUGUCGCCAAGAGGAAGCGUUACCAAGAUGAGGCGUCGCCGGGACAAGGCGCCGCCAGGAUAAGGCAUCGCCAGAUAAAGGAGCGGAGGUCAGAUUCAAAGCAAGAUAACAGGUAUGUUCAGUAUAAGUUAAAAAUCCGAAUGCCUAGUUCUUGAGUAGGGGUUAAAGGAUUCCUUCGGGACGCCCCCUCCUCAGGUAUGAAUAGCUAGCCCCGGUAUCAGAUGUUAAACAUAAGUUAAAAAUCCAGGUGCCUAGUCCUUGAGCAGGGGAUAAGGGAUUCCUUCGGGACACCCCCUUCUCAGGUAUGAAUAGCUAGCCCCGGUAUCAGACGUAGGCUAAAAUUUGGGUGCCUAGUCCCUGAGCAGGGGUUAAGGGAUUCCUUCACCCCUUCCUCAGGUAGGAACAGCUAGCCCCAACGUCUGAUGUUUAGAACACUUCGCCUUGGUGUUUUCAGACACCCUGAGGACGAUACGGCGCUGUUGUAGUAGGCCCUCCUCAAGCGUGGGCACCAAGCGCGAAGAGAUAAGGGCUAAGUUGCUCUGGUGUUUAGACACCCCGUGGGCGAUACGACGCUAUUGUAAUAGGCCUCUCCACGGGCGUGGACGCCAAAGCGUGACUUUUGUCCCAAGUGCUUAGACACGCUAAGGACACCCAGAGCAGGUCUCUCCUCGAGCGUAGACACCCAGUACAGGUAAGAUAAGUCCUCCUCGCCCUCGAACGAUGUCGAGGCCACAAAAGAAUAGAUAAGUCCUCCUCGCCCUUGAGCGAUGUCGAGGCUAGAAAGGAGAUGAGACUCCCUGUUUCAUCUUAAAGCGAUGAUAAAACCGGCAAUGCCUUUGGCUACGAGUGCCUUGGGCUCAAGAACAAGUAAGUAAAGGUGAAGCACUCAAGGAUGAAAGUUGGAUUGCUAUUAUGCAGGAAGAGCUGAAUCAAUUCAUCAAAAAUGAAGUAUGGACUUUGGUUCCUAAAGCUGACAACAAGAAUAUAAUUGGAACCAAAUGGGUAUUUUGAAACAAACUAAAUGAAGUUUGAGUGACUACAAGAAACAAAGCUAGGUUGGUUGCCAAAGGUUACAAUCAAGAGGAAGGCAUAAACUAUGAUAAAACCUUUGUACCUGUGGCCAUAUUGGAAGUUGUGAGACUGUUGCUUGCCUUUGCCUGCAUUAGUGGUUUCAAUUUGUUCCAAAUGGAUGUGAAGAAUGCCUUUGUAAAUGGGUUCAUCAAUGAGGAGGUUUAUGUCUCACAACCACCUAGUUUUGAGGAUCAUCAAAAUCCCAAUCAUGUUUACAAGAUGAAGAAGGCUUUGUAUGGACUUAAACAAGCUCCAAGAUAGUGGUAUGAGAGACUUAAAAAUUUCCUCUUGUCUCAUAACUAUGAGAGUGGCAAAAUUGAUAAGACUCUUUUUUAUUAAAAUGUCCAAAUCUACUAUCAUUUUAGUUCAAAUUUAUGUUGAUGACAUUAUAUUUGGUGCUACUAAUGAUAGUUUGUGUGAAGAAUUUGUGGAAGCAAUGCAGGGGGAGUUUGAAAUGUCUAUGAUGGGGGAGUUAUCCUUUUUCUUAGGGUUGUAGGUCAAGCAAUCAAAGGAUGUCAUCUUCCUUAGCCAAACCAAGUAUUGUAAAGAGAUUCUCAAGAAGUUUGAAAUGGAAAAUUGCAAAGAGGCAUCCACACCAAUGUCUACAAGUUGUCAUAUGAAUGCUGACUUGGUUGGAAUAACAGUAGAUCAAACAAAAUUCCAAGGAUUGAUUGGUUAUUUGCUUUAUCUCACUACUAGCAAGCCAGAUAUCAUGUUUGCAAUUUGUCUUUGUGCUAGAUUUCAUUCCAAUCCAAAAGAAUCUCACUUCAAUGUUGCAAAACGAAUUCUGAAGUAUCUCAAGGGCACAAACCACUGUUGGUUUAUUGUAUCCCUCUCACUCUCCUAUACACUUAGUUUGCUAUUCUAAUUUUGAUUUUGCAGUGUGUAAGCUAGAUCGAAAAGGCACAAGUGGGACUUGUCAUCUUCUUGGUUCAAGUCUCAUAUCUUGGCAUAAGAAGAAGCAAGCUUGUGUGGCUCUUUCCACUACUGAAGCUGAAUACAUAGCUGCUGAAAGUUGGUGUGCUCAAAUUCUCUGGAUCAAACAGCAAUUAGAGGACUUAGGGUUGAAGAUCAACAAGGUGCCUUUGCUUUGUGAAAACACAAGUGCUAUAAAUCUUACCAAAAAUCAUAUUCAGCAUUCAAGGACAAAGCACAUUGAGAUUUGCUACCACUUUAUAAGAGAUCAUGUGAGCAAUGGUGAUUGUGAAGUUCAACUUAUUAAAACUGGAAGAAAACUUGCAGAUAUAUUCACCAAGCCACUUCCCAAGGACAGGUUUUUCUUUAUAAGAAAUGAAUUGGGUAUUCUUGAUUCUAAAAAUCUUGCUUAAUUUUGCUUAUAAUUUGUUCUUCUACUCUAAUUGUGAAGACAAAUAAGGGGAGAAUUAUCUGGUUUGACUGUGGUUUGUAUGUGUGUAGUAUGUUGUUGCAGAAAACUCUGAUUGUGCACCUCAUUCACACUGGUUUUUCACACUGGUUUUGCUGGUUUUCUUUAUGAAAAUCAUAUGGUGAAAACUGGUUCAUUGGUGCAAGAGGAACCUGGAUAUGAUUGCUCUCUGGGACAUGCAUUUUGUCUAUUUUGCAGGUACAUUCAAAUUCAAACAGAUCAACACAAGCAAAC
rnacentral:lncRNA from 1 species